AACGAACGCUGGCGGCGUGCCUAACACAUGCAAGUCGAACGAGAAAGGAAUCUUCGGAUUCUGAGUAAGAGUGGCGCACGGGUGAGUAACACGUGGAUAACCUGCCCUAUGAUCUGGGAUAACUGACCGAAAGGACAGCUAAUACCGGAUAAGCCCACAGAGACUUCGGUCUCAGUGGGAAAAGAUUUAUCGUCAUAGGAUGGGUCCGCGGUCCAUUAGCUAGUUGGUAGGGUAACGGCCUACCAAGGCUACGAGUGGAUAGCGUGGUCUGAGAGGAGUGAUCAGCCACACGUGGAACCGUAGAGACACGGUCCAGAACUCCUACGGGAAGGCAGCAGUGGGGAAUUUUGCGCAAUGGGGGAAACCCUGACGCAGCAACGCCGCGUGAAGGAGUGAAGGCCUCUGUGGGUCGUAAACUUCUGUCAGAGGGGAAGAAAUGCCCGUAAGGGAGCUGACGUACCCGCAGAGGAAGUCCCGCUAAC
rnacentral:rRNA from 1 species